rnacentral:rRNA from 1 species
CGAAAGCCUGACGGAGCAACGCCGCGUGAGGGAUGAAGGCCUCUGGGCUGUAAACCUCUUUUCUCAAGGAAGAAGAUCUGACGGUACUUGAGGAAUAAGCCACGGCUAAUUCCGUGCCAGCAGCCGCGGUAAUACGGGAGUGGCAAGCGUUAUCCGGAAUUAUUGGGCGUAAAGCGUCCGCAGGCGGCCUUUCAAGUCUGCUGUUAAAACGUGGAGCUUAACUCCAUCAUGGCAGUGGAAACUGUUGGGCUUGAGUGUGGUAGGGGCAGAGGGAAUUCCCGGUGUAGCGGUGAAAUGCGUAGAUAUCGGGAAGAACACCAGUGGCGAAGGCGCUCUGCUGGGCCAUAACUGACGCUCAUGGACGAAAGCCAGGGGAGCG